CCCUUAGAUGUUCUGGGCCGCACGCGCGCUACACUGACGCAUUCAACGAGUGCCUCCCUUGGCCGAGAGGUCUGGGUAAUCUUUUGAAACUGCGUCGUGCUGGGGAUAGAUUAUUGUAAUUAUUAAUCUUCAACGAGGAAUUCCUAGUAAGUGCACUUCAACAGAGUGCGCUGAUUACGUCCCUGCCCUUUGUACACACCGCCCGUCGCUCCUACCGAUUGAAUGGUCCGGUGAGGUCUCCGGAUCGCCGGCGGCAGUUGGUUCGCCAACAGCCGCUGCGCGAGAAGUUGCCCAAACCUUAUCAUUUAGAGGAAGGAGAAGUCGUAACA
rnacentral:rRNA from 1 species